AAAUAUUCCAAUGUAGCCGUUGUUCUUCACUAAAACCUCCAUUAAAGACACAUUGCCCACUUUGAAAGCUCAAAAUCUUUGAAGAGGAUUGAAGAGGGUUGGCUAUGGAAGAGGUAAAAUUGAAUUUGUAUAGACAAUGAAAUCGUCAAUUGAUGGAAAGGUUGAAUCCGAAAAUCUGAAAUACACACCCAACAAAAUGCAAGCAACAACUUUGAAUCAGUUGGUUCAAAGUGAAAGAUUUGUGUGAUUUAACUUCUUGUGAGAAAGAGAAGAUGUAAGGUAGCUGACCUAUUUUCCCCCUUUUCUAACAUUUUUCUUGACUAGGCUAUUUUGUGAACGUGCGUGUAGGUAAGUGUUUAAGUUUGAGUGACUUUCUAGUCUGACUAAGCAAAUAAUACCCAUAAAAAUAUACUAAAAGUAAGUCUGGGGGAUCAUAGGACCCCCGCAAAGUUCAUAUAUGUAACAUCAAUUUCGCCCAUAGUUUGAGUGUGUUUUGAACCCUUUUCCCUUAAUAUUACAUUAUUUUAUUUGUUA